GUGGACACGCGAAGCCAGCGAUUGGCGAGUAGCGGCGGUGGGCGUGCGCAGGAGGUGGCAGCAACAACAUGCGGCUGGGGUUUCUUUUUGUGUUUGAAAGUUGGUGUAGUUUUGGGCCAUUCGGGCCUCUAGGGUUUUUAUUAAUAUUGGGCAUUUGGGCUUGUAGUUUUUGGGUUUAAAUUGGCUGAAAAUGGCCUAUUACAGCUGCCCCUCUUUGCUCAUUGUCGUGUAACGAGAAUAGAGCAAAGACUUCAAAAUGGCCAAUUUUGACCGGUCUUGCCUAGUCUUGACUUCUUCGGUGCUUCUCUUCAAGUAGCUUCAUUUCAAUCUACUGUGUCUUGUCGCUUUGAUCCACUUCACAGCAUCUUCAGAGAGAUAUGACUUCAAUCUACUCUGCUGCAUGGGGAUGAGAUUUGUGGUUCUUUCGUCUGCUCUUCAAUCUAUUCCACUGUUGUCCAAGGAAGUAGAACUACUGGCUUCAAUGUACUCUACUGUAAUCUCAGAGAGGUAAAAUCUGCCAUCUUCGAUCUGCUCCACUAUUGCUUAGGGAGAUAAGAUCUGUAAUCUUCAAUCUAUUCCACUGUUGCCCAGGGAAGUAGAAUUUCUGGCUUCAAUGUACUCCAUUGUAACCAUAGAGAGGUAAAAUCUGCCAUAUUUGAUCUGCCCCGCAGUCGAUGCAGGAAGGCAAGAUCUGCUAUCUUUAGUCUGCUCCACUGUCAGUACAGAAAGGCAAGAUUGGCUUCUUCGAUCUGCUUCACCGUCAAUACAGGAAGGAAAGAUCUGCUAUCUUUAACCAACUCCACUGCAACCGAUGGAGGCAAGGUUUUGUUUUCGAUCUGCUUCGCUGUUAAUACAGGAAGGCAAGAUCUGCUAUCUUUAACCAGCUCCACUGCAACCGAUGGAGGCAAGGUUUUGUUUUCGAUCUGCUUCGCUGUUAAUACAGGAAGACAAGAUCUGCUAUCUUUAACCAGCUCCACUACAACCGAGAGAGGCAAGGUUUGUGUUUUCGACCUGCUUCGCUGUCAAUGCAGGAAGGCAAGAUCUAUUAUCUUCAACCAGCUCCACUACAAACGAGGGAGGCAAGGCUUGUGUCUUCAAUCUACUUCGCUGUCAAUGCAGGAAUGCAAGAUCUGUUGUCUUCAACCAGCUCCACUACAACCGAUGGAGGCAAGGUUUUGUUUUCGAUCUGCUUCGCUGUUAAUGCAGGAAGGUAAGAUCUGCUAUCUUUGACCAACUCCACUGCAACCGAUGGAGGCAAGGUUUUGUUUUCGAUCUGCUUCGCUGUUAAUGCUGGAAGGCAAGAUCUGCUAUCUUUAACCAGCUCCACUGCAACCGAUGGAGGCAAUGUUUUGUUUUCGAUCUGCUUCGCUGUUAAUGCAGGAAGGCAAGAUCUGCUAUCUUUGACCAGCUCCACUGCAACUGAUGGAGGCAAGGUUUUGUUUCUUUGAUCUGUUCUCUGGGGAACAUGACCUGUAGAAUCCAUUUUAUGGACCUAUUUAUGCUUAGUGUUUAGGAUGACAUGAUCAGAAAAAAUCAAAUGCUCCUAACUAGAUGUGUAUGAAUGAUAUUUGCAUGAAUGUAGAAUGUCAUGAGAAUGAUCCCUUUUUAAUGUUUGGGUUGUCGUUCCUCGUUGUUCAUCAAGGUUCUAUCACUGAUGUUUUCUCGUUUAGCUAGUGUCUUUGACAGAAGAUUCAAAGGAAUAGUAUCAAUUUAGACUAUCAUUUCUCAAAUGUUUUCAACUCUCAGGUUUGGUCAGUUCUAAACAAUAGUCCUGUUUCAGGUCCUCGUAUUAUUUAGAAACUUUCAGAGUAAUAUGCAGAACUCCUUCUGCAUGAGUGUUGUCAGUCCAUUAAUCGUUAUUUCAAUGAAAAAUGCUUGAAAAAGAUUAUCAAAAUGGACAAAAUGAAAUUUUGUGGAGAGCAAAGCUCUAAACAAACAAAUCAAUCAAGACAACAAAUUUUGCUGAGAUACGAGAUGUAUAAGAUGAAAAAGAUUAUCACAGGAUAAGAUGGAAAUUUGUUGAGAGCAAAGCUCUAAAUGAACAAAUUAAUCAAGAUAGCAAAUUUUGCUAGAAUGCAAAAUGAGAAUAAAUUAAUCAAGAUGGCGUAUUUUGUCAAAAAUAUAAAAAUGAAUAAAAUGGAAAUAGGUGCCCUAGAUAUCAUAGCACGAGCUUCUCUGCCCCAAACUUCUUGAGGACCCUUUUGAACUUGAUAUGUGUCUUGAAGUCUUAGAAACUUUGUUGAUGCCCCAAGAUGUAGCAUCUCUCCUUCUUAUUAAUUCAGAGAGGACAAGACUACCACAUGCCCCAACUUUGAUCAAAAUUUGAACUGCCCAUUCCUGGGUUUUCAAUUCAAAACCCUUUGGUCCUAAGGUGCCCUUUGCGGGUUUUCACCUUGGCCUCUCCUUUUUCUCUUUUCUUUUUCGUUUUUCUUUUCCUUUUUUCUUUUUGUUUCUUUUUUUUUCAAGUGAAGUUUUUAUUGCUUGCAUCAAAAUUCUCAAGAUUAGGCAAGUUCUUGCCAUCUAUCUUGGUCAAUACCGACGUUCUCCUAGAUAAGGCCUUCCACAUAAGGUCCUUCUCGAUUUGGCAUCCACUUUCUUUUGAACUCCUUUUGUAUGGAAAGGAUCUUCUUCGAUAUCAGGUUUCCCUCAUGGAAUUCUCUGGGGCGAACCUUUUCUUUGGUAAGCUCGCAUCAUUUGUUUUUGGUGUAUUUGACCAUGACGGAUAACUUUCGACCUUUCUCUUUAAUCAAAUUUUAACUGAUCAUAUCGGGCCUAGAUUCAUUCAGCUUCAUCCAACUUCAGCUCUGACAAGACUCGAAGGGAAAGAAUAUCGACUUCGAUGGGUAAAAUUGCCUCUAUUCCAUAUACCAAUGAGAAAUGAGUUGCCCCGGUAGAGGUUUUUUCUUUUAUUUUUGUUUUUGUUUUUUUGUUAUUUUUUUGUUUUUGUUGUUUUUGUUUUUUUUUUUGCCUCCACUGAAUCAUUCAUUUUGGAGCGACAUUGUGUUAAUCUUGAACAGACUGCAAACUUCUGAUAUCUUACUGUUGUUCAAAUUUAGUGCAUUAUCUGAUAUGAGCCCUUUGGCAUUCCAUACCGACAUGUGAUUUCUUUUUCAUGAAUUUUCUAUCUGUCCAUUUCGACACUGGCAUAUGAAGCAGCUUUCACACAUUUAGUGAAGUAAUCGAUGACCACAAAGAUGACUCGAUGACCACCAGAAGCUUUCGGUGCAAUCAAUUCGAUGACAUCUAUGCCCCUCAUAGAGCAAGGUCAUGGAAGAGUCAUAACAUGAAGAGAUGAAGAAAGCACUUAAGUCUUGUCUCCGUAAAUUUGACACUUGGUGUAACUGAUGCAAUCCCCUUCCGUGGUGGACCAGCAGUAACCAUAUCUCAUGAUUUUCUUGGCCAUUACAAAAUCAAUGCAUGUGCUCCUCAAACACCUUUUUUUUUUAGCCUCAACAGUGUCCAUGCGUCUUUGUAGCUCAGUCAUAUGUUGAUGUGAAAACAUGACGUCUCACUUUGUCUCUGCGGUGAUACAGGAUCUGAUCUUCAGCUCUUUCUCUUCUCUUAAGCUCACAAUUUUUACUGAUUCUUUGUAAAGCAAGAUCUGUUUCUCGACUUGUUCUACCAUCCUUAACAAUCAGGAGAUAAGCUACAGUCUUGGUCAUCUUCAAAGUCUUGAGGUUCCUCUAGAUACAUAUCUUGCUCAAAAGAAAGUUCUGAGUCAAUAGCAGUGUCGCUCAUAUCAUUGAUAUCAGGAGACCUAUUCUAGGGAACGAAAGAAGACUCAAAGAACUAAUGAAUCAAAGGCGAAUUAUUUGUGUGGUAUGAGUAUGAAUGAAAUGGAACGAACAAAAUAAUGUUUGCCAAAAUAAGACACAAAGAUGCAUUUCGUUGAAAUAAAAAAGUGGACAUGCUCCUUUUUCACAAAAGGAUUUUCUAUUGCUCCCAAGCUUAGAACAAUAAGAGCGUUCCAAAUAUUACUCUGAAAUGGUCCUAAAAAACUACAAGAAUCUCCUCUACAGUCCCGUUGUUCAAAACGCCUCUAGGGAUGUAGAAACAAAUUCUUGAUAGGUUUUUUUUUAGUUUCUUCCUCAAAGGUACAAACAUCUUUACCUUCCAAACUAUCGAUAUAUUCAAAGAAUUCCAAUUCUUUAUCAUCCAUCUGGCUCUGUACUAGAGUUCUGAACUCAAUGCACUUUUGGAUUUUAGGACAAUUAUUGUAUGUAUUGAAAUGUAAUGUUAAUGAAUGCAAUGAAAUGUAAUGCAGAUGCAUGAAUGCAAAAAGAGACGUUGAUUCUUGAUUCAAUUCUAUUAGAACAACUUUACUAGAAAACAAAUCUCUUUACAUAAAAUGGAUAUUUAUACGACCUUGCCCUCAUACUCUAGGUGAAGACAUCGAUCUUUUCCUCAUUCGGGUGCUAAGAUCAAAUCUCGUGAACUCUUCAAAAGGGAUGUCUCUUCUAUUUCCUUUUGCUUGAUCCAGGUCGCGACUCGUUGCUCACUCAUCCUCGGGAUGCUCGUUGGCUUCUCUUUAAGAAAGUUCAGCGACUCUCAAAUAAUUUUGUCAUCUUGAAUCCUUGGGCAACAGAGCAAUAGUCGUGUAGUCCUCCAUCAUCCUUCUCUUAUCACGUUUUCAUGGACCAUAUUCGGACAACCGUAUUAUUAUACACUUUAUCAAGAAACUCAUUUUCUUAUGACAAGCUCUCUAUUUAGAUAUCGAAUCAUGAAUUAACACCUCUUUUCUAUGAUGACAAUGUAAUGCAAUCAUAACAAAGAAGAAACAGGUUAGUACAAAGAAAAAGCAAGCAAGAAUAAACAGAACAUAUAUUCGGAUAACCACUAAGGGCUUGAAGAGGCUCUACCUAAGGUGGGCUCCUAAGGUCUUCUAUAUGCGGUUUGGUUCUAAAGCAAAGGUACCCGAACCAGCAGAUUCUUCGAUCCUCACCCAUUAUAGGCUCAUACGGACCGAGUUCGGUUCAGGGGAAUACAUUUCCCUAUGGCCAUGCGGAGAUGAAAAUCUCACGAAGACAUAAGUACAGAUGUAUCCCGAAAGUGAUCCACUAUCCCAUGCGGAGGUGAAAACCUCACGAAGGCAUAGUUUCUCACUCCCACUUAAGAGGGUGUGACCAACAGUCAUGCAAAUGCAAUGUGUAAAAAUGUAAAAUAUCAGACAUGAUAAAAGCUCAAACUCAACAACAGAUGAAAUAUAAUGAAAGGAUCAUAUAUUAAAAAUCAAAAUUUCAAUUUUUGACAAAAAAGAUAAAAAUUAAUCAAUUUAAGGCUUGACUCUUUUAUGCGUCCCCAACGGAGUCGCCAAGCUGUUGACACCAUUUUUUGUUAAAACGGGGUCGACUUGGAUUUUGAAAAUAAAAACGAAAACGGGAGUUGCCACCAAUCUUUUUUUUGACGAGGUGUGAUCGGGUCACCUCAUCAUUUUAAUAAAAUUUAAAUUUACUAAAACGAUAAUUUUUCGUCUACAAAAUCCAGAAAAUAAGUUCGGGAGUCGGUUACACACGAGGAAGGAUUAGCACCCUCGAUAUGCCCAAAAUUGGUACCUAGUUGAUUAAUUAGUGUCUUAAUGUCGAAGAUUGAAAACUUUAAAGAGUUUUAAAAAUACGAUCCUUAAAAGAAACUCUGAUAACAUGAAUUGAAAUAUAAAAUCCUCUUGUUCCAAAGGAAUAUCACAUCCAGCACGUUAGGACACGAUACUUUAAACCAUCGAAACCAAGAUCACCUUAUAGUUUAACGAAACCAUACUUUGAAGUUUUAAGAGAAUAUUUGGCUAUUUAGUCGAACGAGAAAUCGAAACCCAGCACGUUAGGGCACGUUUUCUCGAAUUUCCAAACGCGAAAUAUUACCUCAUUUAGAAAAUCUUUUCUUUUGAUGUAUGGUAAAAUAUGUAUAGCAAAACAAUAAUGAAUAUGAUGGCGUAAAAAUAAUACGAGUAAUAGCAAUGAAAAUAAGAUAAUAAAAGGGACCAAUCAAUAACAUACAAAGUGGCAAGUACAUAGGCAAAUAAAAGUUGAAUUCUUCUUUCUAAAUAAUAAUGAAAGUGUAAAUAAAUAAAUAAAUAACGAAUAAAUGUAAAAAAACGUAUAUACAUGAAUGUACACAAAAUUAUGAAAAUAUGAAAAAUCUAUGUACGUAUACAUAUUGUGAGAUUAUUAAAUAUAAAAAUAUAUGUAAGUAUGUAUAUACAUGUAUAGGUAUAUGAAUUAAAAUAUGUAAAUAUAUAAGUAUAUAUAUGCGUGUAGAAAACAUGAAAUAUAAAAAAUAUAUAUUUAAAAUAAAUAAAGAAUAUGUACAUAUAUAUAAAAAUUAUAAGAUAUAGUAAGAAAUGUAUAUGAGUAUGUAUAUAUAUAAAUUAUAGAAAAAAUAUGUACGUGUAUGUGUAUUUAAAAAAACAUGUAUGUAUAUAUAAUGACUUAAAUCAAGUAAUACAAAUAAUAAGAAAAAUAUUAGGUAAAUAAAAUAUACAUAUAUAUAUACAUAUAUAUAACUUAAAAUAAAUAUUAAAGGAACUCCCCUUUUACUCUUUUUUUUAAAAAAUAAAUUAAAUGAACUAAAGGAUGAAAAUAAAAUCAAACCAAAAUCUGGGGUUCCAAACUGUAAAUAAAUAAAAAGAUCCCCAGGGACCAAAAUAGGAUGCGUUGGGAAGAAAGAAGGACUGACUGCGCAAUAUCCCCGUCCCUUAUGCGCUUCGUUUUGACAUGGGCCAGAACGAAAUAAGAAACAAAUUAUGCAGAUAAAUUAAAAAGGAAAGAAAGUAAGAAAAACGGACUGGAUUAAAAGAACAAAAAAUGAAGAGGGACUAUCUACACAAAUAACCCCAAAGAACCAAACAUGCAGAUUCCCCCCCAAAAACGACGUCGUUUUGCGUCUAGGGAGGGUUCCAACACACUGCCGUUUCAGCUCUCCAUUUAAACCCUCCUUUUAUUUUUUUUGUUCAUUUAUUCCCCCUAUUAAGAAAAAUCUACAGAAACCUCUCAAAGCCUCCCCAUGCCUUCCGACGGUUGGGUUUCACACCGCCGUUUAUCCGUCCAUCGUACCGCCACUAUACCGGCGGCCAACGAAGCGACAAAGGGGCUUUUAGAGCCUAGCCUUCGGGCGAUUUGAAAAGCCGGGUCUUUGAACACCCACGAGCACCGAGACUGAGGCUCGUAGCUCCCCCCUUUCAGAUCCGGGCCAACGACGGAGAACCACACACCGACGGCGCAGUCGUGAGGUAUCUCCGGUAAGCCCCCUUUCUUUACUUUGUUUUCGUUAAAAACUAUGUAUAUAUAAAAUAGAGUAAAACAAAAUAAAAUAACAGGUCUGGAGAAGAAAAAAAACUUAGUUUUCUUUUUAUUUCUAAACUUUGUUAAAUUGCCAGAAGAAGACAUUACAAUGCUUUUGUUCAGCCUAUAUAGCAAACUUUUACAACCCCUAAACUUCUAUUUUUGUCGUUUUAUGCUUUGGAUCCUUGUACUGUUGCGUGUGGCUUCGUUUUGCAGGUGUCAGACGCGUGGACAUGCGAAGCCAGCGAUUGGCCAGUAGCGGCGGUGGGCGUGCGUAGGAGGUGGCAGCAACAACAUGCGGCUGGGGUUUCUUUUUGUGUUUGAAAGUUGGUGUAGUUUUGGGCCAUUCGGGCCUCUAGGGUUUUUAUUAAUAUUGGGCAUUUGGGCUUGUAGUUUUUGGGUUUAAAUUGGCUGAAAAUGGGCUGCUUUUGUUUUUAUUAUUUGGGUCUAUUUUGCUGGUAUGGGCCCGGGCA
rnacentral:lncRNA from 1 species